UGACCCGGAAAUGGCCUCGUUUUGGUAACAAAAUAACCAGCUGCGAAGUGUCAAUUAUCACUUAUUAAUCCCUUUAGUUAUAAAGUUUUAGAGCAAAAUAAUACGAAUCUGAAACACAGAUCGUGUAAACAAUGGAAGAAUCUGACAGUGGACAGCAACCAAAAAGAUGUCCAUGUGGAUUUUGGGGAUCAACACAGACUUCUGGGCUAUGUUCAAAGUGUUACAAAGCAACAGUGCAGGAAAAGACCCCAGAUGGAAUUGAUGCAAAAAGUGAACUGCUUAAAA